GGGAUGGGACGGCGAGGAAUAAAUUGCUCCCCACCCAGCUGCGGUGCGACGCCCCCAGCGUCCCAGGGGAGCCGGUGCGUCAGCUCACGGCUGGCCAAGGCGGGGCCGUACAAAAGCUAGCGCCGCGGGACCCCCUUCAUGGGCUUCUACCCUAGCAGACCGAGCGCUGGAGGCCGCUCCACGCGCGAGCUCGAACCACGGAGGGCUCUCAGCUCGGACAAGCGUCGCUGUCUAAGAGCUCCAAGCUCCACGGAACUUUGAUUUUAUGCCCGGGAGCCCGGUCAUCCACUUCUGCAUCUCAGACAAGCGCCGGAGGCUCGUGCAGCUUCCUCGCGUCCUCUUCCUGGACGCGGGGCGCCCACCUUAGUCAUAGCCCCUGGUCCCGGCACUGCUCACGCCGUCGGUUUCCCCACUGCCCAGGCUCCCUCAGCCCGAACCCUGCGUCUCUGUUCACAUUGGAACACCCCCUCACCUCAUCUCAGCUUGCUUUUACCGAGGUGUGUGUGUGUGUGUGUGUGUGUGUGUGUGUGUACAUAGCGCGCGCGCUCUAGGCUAGAAAGAAGGUAACGAAAAAGUAGCUUCGGUCUCCUGCAGCUUGGAUCCCACUACCAAGUCCGACCAUAUUCAGUAUUUGAGAUUACAGUUUGCAGCAAGGACCAAGGCAGGGGUUCACCGGAUCAUUUCAACUGAGUUUCAAUGCAGCAAGGAUUGUUUAUCAUUAUUGCUAAGACUGACAAAAAUAGGCCAAAAAUAAAGAACAGUUGCAUAGAAAGAAGGGACAGCAUUUUAGCAGUGAUCAGGAACUAAAAGUGUUUGGAAUGGAUUUCUCGAACAAGAGCAUCCACGAUGGAUAAAGGUGAAAGCCGCAGACUCUCACAAAACCGUUUCAGUACGUGAUGGGAUUAAAAAAUAGGACCAUGCUUUUCAACAUAGACUACCCAUUAGUUCUCCGUUAAAUGCACUAAACCAGCCCCAUGGAAUGAUUACAUGGCAGCCUUUUAAUGUACAAACACGAGGAUUCUAAAACGGAUGCACACAACCCGUUUAUAGAACUCCCUCUGUACACACACACACACACACACACACAUUCAUAAAGAGACAAAGUUUUAAUACCGAUACCCCACACUUGUAAAUACAUAUUUUCUCAAACAACUACCCCUAAAUACAGUAAUUUUCUUCUCCAUUUCCUUGCUGACCUGUGCGACAUUAUAUUUAGAGAGUAGGCUCCCAGGAUCGACAUAAUUCUACUUACAUUCAUUGUGGAUGGCACGUCAUAAAAUGCCAGGGGGGAGGGAACCUUGAGGGGCGUGGAGAAGAAGCCUUUUAUUAACAAUUAUAUUCUCCCUUAGCAGUUUAAAUAAUAACAAUGAUGUCACGGUAACCAUCUCCCUUCUCCCACUCCAGUGAAACCACUAGAUGGGUUGGUGAACUGUACAUUUGUAUACUUAAUUAAGGGAUUACUGUUGCUACACAGUUACAAAGGUGGCAUAAGGAAUCUCUGAACGGUAGAUUGCGGGACAUUUGGCAUGUUGUAGGACUCACUUACCUGCCAAAUCUUAUUUCAGAAUAAGAAUGAUAAAAUGUUGUUAGUUUGUGCCCAGCAUAGUUUUGAAGGAAAAUGGAACAAAAAGAAGUUGCUCCUUGAAAAUUAUGUUAGUUGUAGGAAAAAAAAAUCCUCUCAGCGGAACGAGCCGGUUACGCACUGUAUUAAAUGAGGAUCAUAUUUUACCAACCCAGGUGGUGUUUUAAAAAUUCUUUCAGGCAACAGUGAUAAGAGAGGAAGCAAAGAGCACGCAGACCCCCGCCCAGCCCGCACCCGUGUUCCCAGUGUCUGGAGCACACACUCUAAACACAUCGGGACCCCCACCCCCAUGAAUUCGCCCUGUUUGAGACUCAGUUUCUGAGGCCAAGAGUUCGUUCUCGGUGGAUCGCUACACGUUGAAAAAUGGAUAUUUGUGUAAGGUCAACAUUCAGGCUAUAGUACGAUGGCAUGGUGGAGAGAAAACACUUUUCAUUGUUUAACAGUUACUAAAUAAUUAAACUGCCCUGCAUAUUGAA
rnacentral:lncRNA from 1 species